rnacentral:rRNA from 1 species
AGAUUGAACGCUGGCGGCGUGCCUAACACAUGCAAGUCGAGCGGUAACAGGUGUAGCAAUACAUCACCGGCGGACGGGUGCGUAACACGUGGGAAUAUACCUUUUGGUUCGGAACAACGCAGGGAAACUUGCGCUAAUACCGAAUGUGCCCUUACGGGGAAAGAUUUAUCGCCAAAGGAUUAGCCCGCGUAGGAUUAGCUAGUUGGUGAGGUAAUGGCUCACCAAGGCUCCGAUCCUUAGCUGUUCUGAGAGGAAGAUCAGCCACACUGGGACUGAGACACGGCCCAGACUCCUACGGGAGGCAGCAGUUGGGAAUCUUGGACAAUGGGGGAAACCCUGAUCCAGCCAUGCCGCGUGAGUGAUGAAGGCCUUCGGGUUGUAAAACUCUUUCGACGGGGACGAUAAUGACGGUACCGUAGAAGAAGCUCCGGCUAACUUCGUGCCAGCAGCCGC